rnacentral:rRNA from 1 species
CAGGCUUAACACAUGCAAGUCGAGCGGAGAGAGGUAGCUUGCUACUGAUCUUAGCGGCGGACGGGUGAGUAACACGUGGGAACGUACCUUUUGGUUCGGAACAACUCAGGGAAACUUGAGCUAAUACCGAAUGUGCCCUUAGGGGGAAAGAUUUAUCGCCAUUAGAGCGGCCCGCGUUAGAUUAGCUAGUUGGUGGGGUAAAGGCCCACCAAGGCUACGAUCUAUAGCUGGUCUGAGAGGAUGAUUAGCCACACUGGGACUGGGACACGGCCCAGACUCCUACGGGAGGCAGCAGUGGGGAAUCUUGCGCAAUGGGCGAAAGCUUGACGCAGCCAUGCCGCGUGAAUGAUGAAGGUCUUAGGAUUGUAAAAUUCUUUCAGUAGGGACGAUAAUGACGGUACCUACAGAAGAAGCCCCGGCUAACUUCGUGCCAGCCGCCGCAGUAACAC